rnacentral:rRNA from 1 species
UACGGAGGGUGCGAGCGUUGUCCGGAAUCACUGGGCGUAAAGGGCGCGUAGGCGGCGCGGGGAGUCAACGGUGAAAGCUCGGCGCUCAACGCCGAGUCGGCCGUCGAUACUCCCGUGCUUGAGCACUGUAGAGGCAGGUGGAAUUCCGGGUGUAGCGGUGGAAUGCGUAGAGAUCCGGAAGAACACCGGUGGCGAAGGCAGCCCCCUGGGCCAAAACUGACGCUCAGGCACGAAAGCGUGGGGAGCAAACAGG